GNUGAANUUGCCAUGGGGGAAACCCUGUNGCAGCCAUGCCGCGUGGAGGAAGACACCCCUAUGGGGCGUAAACUCCUUUUCUGCGCGAAGAAACCUCUGUUUUUCAGAGUGUGACGGUACCGCAGGAAUAAGGACCGGCUAACUCCGUGCCAGCAGCCGCGGUAAUACGGAGGGUCCAAGCGUUGUCCGGAAUCACUGGGCGUAAAGGGUGUGCAGGUGGGGCAGCAAGUCANAGGUGAAAGCCCGCGGCUUAACCGCGGACGUGCCUUUGAAACUGCUGCUCUUGAGUCCCGGAGAGGNUGNCGGAAUUCGNGGUGUAGCGGUGAANUGCANUAACAUAUCACGAGGNNCACCAGAGGCGAA
rnacentral:rRNA from 1 species